GAUGAACGCUGGCGGCGUGCCUAAUACAUGCAAGUCGAGCGAAUGGAUUAAGAGCUCGCUCUUAUGAAGUUAGCGGCGGACGGGUGAGUAACACGUGGGUAACCUGCCCAUAAGACUGGGAUAACUCCGGGAAACCGGGGCUAAUACCGGAUAAUAUUUUGAACUGCAUGGUUCAAAAUUGAAAGGCGGCUUCGGCUGUCACUUAUGGAUGGACCCGCGUCGCAUUAGCUAGUUGGUGAGGUAACGGCUCACCAAGGCAACGAUGCGUAGCCGACCUGAGAGGGUGAUCGGCCACACUGGGACGGAGACACGGCCCAGACUCCUACGGGAGGCAGCAGUAGGGAAUCUUCCGCAAUGGACGAAAGUCUGACGGAGCAACGCCGCGUGAGUGAUGAAGGCUUUCGGGUCGUAAAACUCUGUUGUUAGGGAAGAACAAGUGCUAGUUGAAUAAGCUGGCACCUUGACGGUACCUAGCCAGAAAGCCACGGCUAACUACGUGCCAGCCGCCGCAGUAA
rnacentral:rRNA from 1 species